rnacentral:rRNA from 1 species
GAUGAACGCUAGCGGCAGGCCUAAUACAUGCAAGUCGGACGGGAUUUGGGAGCUUGCUCCCAAUGAGAGUGGCGCACGGGUGCGUAACACGUAUGUAACCUACCUUAGUCAGGGGGAUAGCCUCUCGAAAGAGAGAUUAAGACCGCAUAAAAUCACAGUAUAGCAUUAUACAAUGAUCAAAUAUUUAUAGGACUAAGAUGGGCAUGCGGAACAUUAGCUAGUUGGUGAGGUAACGGCCCACCAAGGCUACGAUGUUUAGGGGAUCUGAGAGGAUGACCCCCACACUGGUACUGAGACACGGACCAGACUCCUACGGGAGGCAGCAGUAAGGAAUAUUGGUC